UCCCUGGUGGCUCAGACAGUAAAGAAUCUGCUUGCAAUGCAGGAGACCUGGGUUCGAUUCCUGGGUGGGGAA
rnacentral:tRNA from 1 species